ensembl:misc_RNA Metazoa_SRP Metazoan signal recognition particle RNA
GCCAGCUGCCCUGGUGGCACCUGUAGUCCCAGCUUCCCAGGAGGCUGAGGCAGGAGGAUCUCUUGAACCCAGGAGUUCCUGGCUGUAGUGUAGUGUGCAAUGUUAAUCAUGUGUCUGUACUAAGUUUGGCGUCAGUAUGGUGACCCCUUGGGAGUCUGAGGAGGAGCCAACUGGCCCAGGUCAGAAAUGGAAUGGGUGAAAACUCCUGUGCUGAUCAGUAUGACAUCAUGCUUGUGAAUCACCACUGCACUCCAGCCUGGGCAACAUAGCAAGACGCUGUCUUUA